rnacentral:rRNA from 1 species
AGUGAACGCUGGCGGUAGGCCUAACACAUGCAAGUCGAACGGCAGCACAGUAAGAGCUUGCUCUUACGGGUGGCGAGUGGCGGACGGGCGAGGAAUACAUCGGAAUCUACUUUUUCGUGGGGGAUAACGUAGGGAAACUUACGCUAAUACCGCAUACGACCUACGGGUGAAAGCAGGGGAUCUUCGGACCUUGCGCGAUUGAAUGAGCCGAUGUCGGAUUAGCUAGUUGGCGGGGUAAAGGCCCAUCAAGGCGACGAUCCGUAGCUGGUCUGAGAGGAUGAUCUGCCACACUGGAACUGAGACACGUUCCAGACUCCUACGGGAGGCAGCAGUGGGGAAUAUUGGACAAUGGGCGCGAGCCUGAUCCAGCCAUACCGCGUGGGUGAAGAAGUCCUUCGGGUUGUAAAGCCCUUUUGUUGGGAAAGAAAAGCAGCAGGUUAAUACCCCGCUGUUCUGACGGUACCCAAAGAAUAAGCACCGGCUAACUUCGUG